rnacentral:snRNA from 1 species
AGAGAAUCGCUUGAACCUGGGAGGUGGAGGUUGCGGUGAGCUGAGAUCGCGCCACUGCACUCCAGCCUGGGUGACAGAA